rnacentral:rRNA from 1 species
CACGUAGGGCGCAAGCGUUGUCCGGAAUUAUUGGGCGUAAAGAGCUCGUAGGCGGUCUGUUACGUCUGCUGUGAAAACCCAGGGCUUAACCCUGGGCUUGCAGUGGAUACGGGCAGACUAGAGGCAGGUAGGGGAGAAUGGAAUUCCCGGUGUAGCGGUGAAAUGCGCAGAUAUCGGGAGGAACACCGGUGGCGAAGGCGGUUCUCUGGGACGGUACUGACGCUGAGACGCGAAAGCGUGGGGAGCGAACAGG